rnacentral:rRNA from 1 species
CUGCGAGUGAAGCGGCAAAAGCUCAAAUUUGAAAUCUGGCGUCCGUUUGGGGCGUCCGAGUUGUAAUUUGAAGGAGCGUCUUCGGGGGCGGCACCGUCCGAAGUUCCGUGGAACCGGACGUCACAGAGGGUGAGAAUCCCGUGCCUGGGCGGCCGUCCGUUCCCAUGUGAAGUGCUUCCGACGAGUCGAGUUGUUUGGGAAUGCAGCUCAAAAUGGGUGGUAAAUUUCAUCUAAAGCUAAAUAUUGGCGAGAGACCGAUAGCGCACAAGUAGAGUGAUCGAAAGAUGAAAAGCACUUUGAAAAGAGAGUUAAAAAGUACGUGAAAUUGUUGAAAGGGAAGCGCUUGAGAUCAAACUUCGGUUGUUGGCGAAGCUGCGAGCUCGCUCGGAGCCGCUCGCCUUUGACCGGGCCAGCAUCGGUUUUGACGGCGGGAGAAAUGGUGGGGGAAUGUGGCUCUCCCGUACAAGGGGGAGUGUUAUAGCCCCCGUCAAAUACCGUCAGUCGGGACCGAGGACCGCGCUUCGGCUAGGAUGCUGGUGUAAUGGUCUUAAGCGACCCG